AUAUCCGGGUUCAGGUAGCACCAAGGAGCAGCUGCUCAUCUCAAAUGAAGACGCUGGAGGACUCAGAGCCCCAAAGCAGACAUGAGAACGUGGGGGGAUGCCCUGGCUGAGACCCUCUUAGACACGACAAGCCUUUAGUAUGUAGAACGUGUUCCCUGCUAUCCACAAGCACGAAACUCUAUACAGACUUGACUUUCUCUC
rnacentral:lncRNA from 1 species